rnacentral:rRNA from 1 species
AAGCGGAGGAAAAGAAACCAACAGGGAUUGCCUCAGUAACGGCGAGUGAAGCGGCAACAGCUCAAAUUUGAAAUCUGGCUCUUUUAGGGUCCGAGUUGUAAUUUGUAGAAGAUGCUUCGGGUGUGGCUCCGGUCUAAGUUCCUUGGAACAGGACGUCAUAGAGGGUGAGAAUCCCGUAUGUGACUGGCUGCCUUCGCCUAUGUGAAGCUCUUUCGACGAGUCGAGUUGUUUGGGAAUGCAGCUCAAAAUGGGUGGUAAAUUUCAUCUAAAGCUAAAUAUUGGCCAGAGACCGAUAGCGCACAAGUAGAGUGAUCGAAAGAUGAAAAGCACUUUGGAAAGAGAGUUAAACAGUACGUGAAAUUGUUGAAAGGGAAGCGCUUGCAACCAGACUUGCAUACGGUUAAUCAUCCGGUGUUCUCACUGGUGCACUUGACCGUGUUCAGGCCAGCAUCGGUUCAGGUGGUAGGAUAAAGGCCUUGGGAAUGUAGCUUCUUUCG